rnacentral:rRNA from 1 species
GACACAGGGAGGUAGUGACAAGAAAUAACAAUACAGGGCAUAUGUCUUGUAAUUGGAAUGAUGCCGACUUAAACCCUCGGCAGAGUACCAAUUGGAGGGCAAGUCUGGUGCCAGCAGCCGCGGUAAUUCCAGCUCCAAUAGCGUAUAUUAAACUUGUUGCAGUUAAAAAGCUCGUAGUUGAAUUUCAGCCCUUCGGCUUGCGAUUUUCGCUGUUGCCGUGGGCUUUUUUGUUUACUUUGAGAAAAUUAGAGUGUUUCAAGCAGACUUUUGUCUUGAAUACUUCAGCAUGGAAUAAUAGAGUAGGACCUUGGUUCUAUUUUGUUGGUUUUUGAGCCUUGGUAAUGGUUAAUAGGAACGGUUGGGGGCAUUCGUAUUUAACUGUCAGAGGUGAAAUUCUUAGAUUUGUUAAAGACGAACUAGUGCGAAAGCAUUUGCCAAGGACGUUUUCAUUAAUCAAGAACGAAAGUUAGGGGAUCGAAGA